rnacentral:rRNA from 1 species
GAUGAACGCUAGCGGCAGGCCUAAUACAUGCAAGUCGAACGGUGUAGCAAUACACAGUGGCGCACGGGUGCGUAACACGUAUGCAACCUACCUAUCAUUGGGGGAUAGCCUUUGGAAACGGAGAUUAAUACCGCAUAAGACAGUAACAUGGCAUCAUGUAGCUGUUAAAGCUUCGGCGAUGACAGAUGGGCAUGCGUCCAAUUAGUUAGUUGGUGAGGUAAUGGCUCACCAAGACGAUGAUUGGUAGGGGAUCUGAGAGGAUAAUCCCCCACACUGGCACUGAGAUACGGGCCAGACUCCUACGGGAGGCAGCAGUAGGGAAUAUUGGGCGAUGGGCGGAAGCCUGACCCAGCCAUGCCGCGUGCAGGAUGAAGGCGUUAUGCGUUGUAAUCUGCUUUUUUAUAGGAAGAAGGAGACCUUGCGAGGUUUGGUGACGGUACUAUAAGAAUAAGCACCGGCUAACUCCGUGCCAGCCGCCGCGGUAAUAC